rnacentral:rRNA from 1 species
GACGAACGCUGGCGGCGUGGAUUAGGCAUGCAAGUCGCGCGACGGUGUAGAUUCGUCUACAUACGGAGCGGCGAACGGGUGAGUAACACGUGAACAACCUACCCCAUUGUUCCGGAUAAUUGGCCGAAAGGCCUUGUAAUACGGGCGAGAAUCCAGAUUUGGCAUCAUAACUGGAUUGAACGAGCAAUCGGCACUGGGAG